UACAGGUAGCACGAGUGGUGUCCACGUAUAUUGAGUCUAAAGCGUCCGUAGCCGGAUUGGCAAAUCUUCUGUGAAAUCCUACAGCUUAACUGAAGGACUUGCAGGGGAGACUACCAGUCUAGGAAGUGGAGGAGGUACUGGGUACUACAGGGGGAACGGUAAAUGUUAUAAUCCUCGGAGGACUACCAGUGGCGGAGGCGUCUGCCUAGAACAGGUCUGACGGUGAGGGACGAAGGCCA
rnacentral:rRNA from 1 species